ACUGCCACCUCAACUGUGUCCAAUCAAUUUUCUUCCCCUCCACUCCCUUGCCUCCCAGACCUUUCUUUUUCUCAAUGUUUUCUCAUUUCCCGUGAUAUACUGUUCUCUCCCCUCAUCUCCAUAUCCGGAUUCUUUCUCUUCAGGAGAAUGAAGAAUUUGAAAGAAAAAUUCUUUCCCACCCAUCAUCAUCCUCUUCCCCUCCAUCUGUUCUCUAUCUCUCUGUUGCGUCGCACUCCCCCCACAAGCGCCGCCACGAGUUCCGAUCCCGAAGGUCUGUUGGCAUGAAACCGUCCAUCCUCCUCCAAAGGAACCCGCCGCGGCGGAAUUACUAGGCUCA
rnacentral:lncRNA from 1 species